CCCGCGAUCACUUCGAAGCAAGCGGUUCUCCUGAUCGGAUGUAAAAGUGAUUAAUAGAGCUCGGUAGACAUUCAUUUAAGUGGAAUAAAAAAGUGAAAAGUACAGAAAAAAGAUACAAAUUUUUUUCAACAUAUUGUACCCUGAGAAAGAAGCAAUUUUAUCUAGUAAAUGGGACACAUUUAAGGAAAAGGUUUUUUGCUUUUACGAAGGGCAAAUACAAAACAAAGAGCGACUUAAACUAUUAAAGACAGUUCAGAAAACUGUAUCACUUGAUUACAAGGACUACAUUUACACAGUAUUGCUCACAUCUGUCAUCUUAAAUAAUUCGUGGACCGUCAUUAAAGGAACCAACAAGCGAAAGUAAUUAUUACUACUGGAACUCGCAGGAAAGUUUUGUACGCACAUGCAGGCGUACGAAUGUGGCAAAACACAAAAAUGUGUGAUUAUAAAAAACAUUGAACGCUUUACUAGCUGCUCUAUGCAUACAUCACUGUGGACGGCAGUACACGUAGUGGCGAAGCGCGCAAGAGAGCGUGCGAAGACAACUACUAUAUAUAGUAUGUAUCAUAUAAAUUCUAAGAGUUACGUUAAGUACAAAUGUAUUUAAAACAAAAGUAAUGAUGACGUGUUAGCAUGGUAAAAAUAGAGUUUA